rnacentral:rRNA from 1 species
GAUGAACGCUGGCGGCGUGCCUAAUACAUGCAAGUCGAGCGAACAGACGGGGAGCUUUCUCCUCUGACGUUAGCGGCGGACGGGUGAGUAACACGUGGAUAACCUACCUAUAAGGCUGGGAUAACUUCGGGAAGCCGGAGCUAAUACCGGAUAAUAUAUUGAACCGCAUGGUUCAAUAGUGAAAGACGGUUUUGCUGUCACUUAUAGAUGGAUCCGCGCCGCAUUAGCUAGUUGGUAAGGUAACGGCUUACCAAGGCAACGAUGCGUAGCCGACCUGAGAGGAUGAUCGGCCACACUGGAACUGAGACACGGUCCAGACUCCUACGGGAGGCAGCAGUAGGGAAUCUUGCGCAAUGGGCGAAAGCCUGACGGAGCAACGCCGCGUGAGUGAUGAAGGUCUUCGGAUCGUAAAACUCUGUUAUUAGGGAAGAACAAAUGUGUAAGUAAAUAUGCACGUCUUGACGGUACCUAAUCAGAAAGCCACGGCUAACUACGUG